rnacentral:lncRNA from 1 species
AGAUGAAGAAAGCGAAAUCAAAUCAGUUUAGAGAAAGGCACCGGCAAAGUUACAAUGCCUUUCAGCGGCAUCAAAACUAUCGCAACAACCCCCAGCACCCUCCAACACAAGGCUCGCCCUACAAGCCUUAUGUACAAGGCUAUAACAGAUUUCACCCUUACAGGAAUCACCACAGCUGGCACGGGAGUAAGACGGGGAGGCGAUGAACAUGCUAAAGAAAGUAACAAAUUUUGUCAUAGUCGUAUUUUUGUGAUAAAUUUUAAAUUGUAAGUAAUUAGAAUUUUUAUUUAUGGAAAGAAAAUCAAUUUAGAGAUUUUAAAUUCUGGAAAGAAGUUUAAGGAAGGAAAAAAAUUAUGAGAAAAUUGCAUAGUUGGAACAAAAAUCAUCAAAGAUUUAAAAUACAUUAUGUAUAAACCGUUCAUUAGCUAAAGCAGAGGAAUUAUACAGAAAUUUGGAAUUUAACAGUCUAAUCACUGGCCAACCACAUUUCUGAUCAAUAGUUUGUACACCAUAAAUCAUAGUAAUUAUUCGGAAAUCAUAAUUUAUAACCAAUCGGUGACCAUCAUUAUUUAAAUUAACCAAUGGCAAUAAUAUUUUUAAUUAAACCAAUCACUGAACAUUAAAAAUUGUAAUUUAUACUUUAGGUACUGUAAAUCUAAUAUAUAAUUUGACCAUCCGAUGUAUGUCAUUGACCAUCAAUAGUGCCAUGAGCUCUGCCAUAUUUUAUCUAUAUUUUAUGAUGUAUCUGUCAUUUAGCAAUGAUUUUUAUAAAUAUAUAGCCUUUGACCCAAUGUAAACUAUAAAAUUGCUGCUAAAAUUUACAUUUUAAUCUUGGGAAAAUAAUAUGGUUUUAUGAUAUACCAAAAAUGUAUGUUUAACAAAAAUACUUUGGUUUUGUGACAUUUUGAUAAUAUUGUAAUAUGAAUAUAGCAUAUUGGACUACCUCAUUCCUUCAUACUGUAUAAAUUCCUUUCUCACAUAAUAUAUUGCUUCAGUAUGUAUAUAAAAGAUCCGUAAUAGCUGAAAAAAAAUAUUGUGGAUGAUUUAGAGAAUCAUUGUUGAAAUGUUGAUUCAUUGUAUCAGUUAUAAAAAUUUAUUACUAUUCAUACUGUUGUACAGAUGUUCAUGUUGAAACAACAAAACAUGUUGUUUUUUAGUAUACAGCACUUGCACAGAUAUGCUCUAUGCUGUGGUAAUGAAAUUUUUGUGUAAAAUGGAAUGUGGGUUCAUUUCAGUUCAUUUCAUUUAACAUACAUGCCAAGCACAGUGUGUUGACAGAUGACCAAUGGUUGGUAGUACCUUGUCUAAUUUUGACCUAGUUUCUGCAGAUUGCAGUAUACUCAUCCUCCUGUUAGGAGCCUAUUUUUAAAUAUUCUAUCAUUAUUAUGAUUUACUGCAUAUGUUUAUGAAUGUAUGUAAAUAAACUUAAUCUUUGUAUCACAGGCAGAUAUAGGCUUGCAUUUUUUUCAUAGCAAGUAAAAGAAAAUUGUGAUGAAAAUUCCCAAAUAAGAACACAAAAUUGUCAUAAUGCAGUGUUUGAUUAGGUUGUAAAGGAAAGUAUUGACACACAUUUGUGUUUGUAAUUUCCUUAAUAAUGUUAUUCAGUUUUUAUCACUUGUGAUUGUUUGGGAAAUAUAUAUCCAACAAGUAGGAAUUAUCUUGAUGAUGCAGUCUCCUAAUAAUGUUUGCUGCCCUCUACAUUUUUUUUCAUUCAAUAGUUUACUUCCCUUGCUGUUAGUCCAUUUAAAAGCCAAAUGGCUUCUUAAUUGUUUACAGUGAUUUUUGUUUAGGUUUCUAUAGCCCAGAUUUAUAUUAUAUUCCUUUAUUGCAUUUGUAUGUGAUAACAAUUGGCUGGGACAAUUUUGAGCUAGUUUGAAUCUAUGUAUGAAUGAUGUUAAUGGUUAAUAUUCUGUUUAGCUCCAUUUUAUUUAAAUUAAAGAAAACAAUUUUUGUUUCCAAUCUAGUAAGCUAAUUAUUAUAAUAUUUUUUAAUUUCAUUUUUCUACUGAAGAAUGACUGUCAGUCUUUUGUUUUGUUUUUUUUUUUUUUUUUGGACCAUUUGGAUUCAAUUCAAUAGGUACUGUACUCUGAAGGUGUACUUGACCUUAUGAAUAUGACUGAGGGGUCAUUUUUCUUUGUUUUUUAUUUUUUAAAUUUCUGUGUUUUUGAGAGAGUACAUGACUUAAGCUGCAAGCUUCUCACCUCCCUGAUGAGCAUACCUAGUGUUUGCUGCCAGGAAAUACAAGGUGUUGCGCCAGGGGCCCUCAUCAGGGAGAGCUGGCUCCCCUGUUUGAGAGAAAAACCACAAUUCGUAGAGAGAAAAAAAUUUAUAUUUUAUUUCUACAUAUUAGUAGAUUCUAACUAUUUAUAAAAUCGACUAAAUAAGCCUUUGAAACCCCGAAAUUGUCAUAUUUUUCAUAGGAUUCACCCCUUGGACCUUUAUCGAAACAUUUUGAGCAACACCCGACCACUGCCACUUUGCUCUCAUCAGGGACAUCGCUCCCCCCAACUGGCAAAUCCUGGCAUCACCCAUGGGAAAUACAGACACCAGUACCCUCAAUGAUAGUUACCCAUUUAUACUCCUGGGGGGGAGAGACAAACAUUAAGUGUCUUGGCCAAAGACCCAAGCAAAUUGCAUGAGGAGGGAUUUAAAACCCUGAACGUAAUCAUAAAUGUUGACACCAACACAAGUUUCUUGUCUUCAUGAUGAUGAAAUGUACUGGAUGACCACAUUCUUCAUUAUUUCUUUUGUAUUCAUGUUACUUAAAUAUUCUUCUAGACAUUUUUUAAAUGUUUAAGUACAGUAUACAUGAAUGUAAUUAGUUAUUUGUGCAUAUUAUUUCAUCACCAAAAUGUGCAUUUGGCAUUUAAGGUACAAUAUUACGAAAUCAUUUUUCAAACGCACAGUACAGCAUGUAUUACAUUGGUUUUUAAUCACUUUUUUUGUUACAUUCACAUUAAUUUAUUCCUUCACCUUUGCUUUAGUACUUAAAACUUAAUAUUUUAUAGAAAUUAAACCUUGAACUGUGAAAUUGGAAUCCACGCAUAUUCACCACCUACAUCUGCAUAGUGGCGUAUCUAGAGAUGCGUGGAAGAGCACCUUCUGCCACAUCCCCUUAAAAAGCUGCCCCAGCCGCUCCCCACCCAUUGAAAUUGUCUGAAGGCAAAAAAUAAUUACCUAAUAUCACCUUAUUUUGCGACCUAGCGCCCCUCAUUUAAUCAUCGAGCUACGCCUUCACCCCUGAGCCCCUACACCUUUGCCCUGGCACAAUACAUAACCAUAUAAGGCUUUGCACAUGAUGAUGUCAUAUAGGCAAAUCACUGAUAUUUGUCACUAUAAACAUGAUAUUUUGUAAACAGUAUUAAACAUAGUGUUAAGAUAAACAGUCUGUUUUGUGCUACAAAGUUUUUUUUAUUUGUGUUUAGUUUAAGUUCUUAAUUAAAUAUAAUAUAAUAAAAAUAUUCUCCUCGCCAAUUUAACACAUUAAUAAUAAUUCCUUCCUAUUAUUUGCUUUGCUCUAAAAUUAAAUUAAUCAAAUUAACGCAUUUUUGUAUUAAACCGCCUGUAAAUCUGCAAAAAAAAAAACUGCUUAAAUUUAUCAAUCUGAUUUAUUUGGACCCUAAUAACUUUUUGAUCAUUUUAAUUUAGGGUUUUAUAUGUUUUUAUAACAGACUGCAUGUCUUUAAAAUUGACUUUGAAUUAAGAAGCUCAGCUUUUGUUUAAUUAAUAGGCCUAUAUAUUAGCUAAUUGGACACGAUUGUUUAAACAAUCGCAGCAAUGUUGUAUCAUUGCUAUUAAUUUUACAAAAAUUAUUUUAGCAGCUGUCAAAAUAUGUAUCGUUUAUCAUCUUUAGUUAUAUUGUAUCCAUAAUUAUGUAUAUUUCACAUUGAUACUGAUAAUGCGGUUGGAGUGUGAUGUAAUGUACCUUCCUAGAGUGUCAAUUAAACUUAGCAACUGGCCAAUCAGAACAGGGCCAGGAAACACGCGUCUCACAAACACGCGCGUUGUCCCUCAAACGCACAUGUUUGCGUACGUUUUUACACUGUUUGUCGACCAUAGCAACAAUAUCCAAGGGGCGGGGCUUAGCGGAAAGGUUCAUUGUUUUGUAAAAUUGUGUCUGAAUGUGUAUUACCAGAAUUGAUGACAUAAAUGUACAACAUAUGUGUUGGUGGAUUACAUCUAUGAUGUAUAUAAUGAUACAAAGAUGACAAUAUUAGACGAUUAUUUGUGUUUUGUCUUUGUGUGUGUGUAUGUAUGAAAAGUAAAUUAUUAUUUUCAGUAUACAGUA